rnacentral:rRNA from 1 species
UACGUAGGUGGCAAGCGUUGUCCGGAUUACUGGGCGUAAAGAGCGCGCAGGCGGUCGUUCAAGUCGCGUGUGAAAGCCCCCGGCUCAACUGGGGAGGGUCACGCGAUACUGAUCGACUCGAAGGCAGGAGAGGGAAGUGGAAUUCCCGGUGUAGUGGUGAAAUGCGUAGAUAUCGGGAGGAACACCAGUGGCGAAGGCGACUUCCUGGCCUGUUCUUGACGCUGAGGCGCGAAAGCUAGGGAGCAACGGG